rnacentral:rRNA from 1 species
ACUUUCAGCAACGGAUCUCUUGGCUCUCGCAUCGAUGAAGAACGCAGCGAAAUGCGAUAAGUAAUGUGAAUUGCAGAAUUCAGUGAAUCAUCGAAUCUUUGAACGCACCUUGC